AUUGAACGCUGGCGGCAUGCCUUACACAUGCAAGUCGAACGGCAGCGGACCUUCGGGUGCCGGCGAGUGGCGAACGGGUGAGUAAUAUAUCGGAACGUACCUUUCAGUGGGGGAUAACGUAGCGAAAGUUACGCUAAUACCGCAUAUUCUGUGAGCAGGAAAGCAGGGGAUCGCAAGACCUUGCGCUGAUUGAGCGGCCGAUGUCAGAUUAGCUAGUUGGUGAGGUAAAGGCUCACCAAGGCGACGAUCUGUAGCGGGUCUGAGAGGAUGAUCCGCCACACUGGAACUGAGACACGGUCCAGACUCCUACGGGAGGCAGCAGUGGGGAAUUUUGGACAAUGGGCGCAAGCCUGAUCCAGCCAUGCCGCGUGAGUGAAGAAGGCCUGCGGGUUGUAAAGCACUUUCAGUGGGGAAGAACAGAUUCGGGUCAAUACCCCGGAGCCCUGACGUUACCCACAGAAGAAGCACCGGCUAACUCCGUGCCAG
rnacentral:rRNA from 1 species